rnacentral:lncRNA from 1 species
UUGGAAACAGGCUCGUUGCAGAUGUAAUUAGUUAAGUUAAGAUGAGGUCGUACUGGAGUAGCGUGGGCCCCUAAUCCAACAGGACUGUGUCUUUAUAAAAAGGGGAACUCUGGACACAGACACAGAGGGAGAACACCACGUGAAGAUGGGAGUGAUGCUGCCAGAAGCCAAGGAAGUACCAGAAGCUGGGAGAGAGGCCUGGAACACAGCCUUCCCUGGAGCCAUCAGAGGGAGCGUGGCCUGGCUGACACCUUGAUCUUGGACUUUCCAGCCUCCAGAACCGGGAGAGAAUAAAUGUCUGCUGUCUAAACCACCCACUUUGUGGUACUCGGUGGGGGCAGCCGGAGGAAACUAAUUCAGCCACCAACCACCUCGGCUGCCUUGAAGGUGACUCCUCUUGCUGCCAUUAUAGAUUGCUAGGAAGUCUGGGGUUUUGUGACCAUAACUUCCCUCAGCCAAGACUUCCUGGUAAGUUUUUUCUCUUUUCUCUUUCCUACACGUCAUUCUUCUCUUCUGCUUCGUGAUAGUUGGUUUUAUUGUUCCUUCAGUAUGACAAUAAGCCACUUCAAAUGCCUUUUGGAAGCAAGCAAGAUAUGAAUCAACAAAUUGAAAUUAAGAUAAAAGACCCAAAGCAAUGACGUUUUUGGAGAUGAGAGGGAGGGAUAAUUAUACCAGAAGCCUAGUCUUAAAAAAAACAAAAAACAAACAAAACCAAAGCAAGUAUAGUCGUCGGCCGUCUGACGUGAGUUGCAGGCGUGUGGCGGAAGAUGGAGACAGAUCAGAGAAUGGUAGGAAAGGGUCACGUUAACCGAUUACGAGCGUGAGCCGACACGGGAGCAUGUUGCCCUGCAUCUUCUCGACGAUUGUUUCAUGUCCCUGCUAAGUGUGGAGCCAGGCAGUUCUAUAGGAACCCGAUUGAGUCGUCUAACUCCUUUCUACAUCUGGAGUAAACAGCAAGGCUGCUCCAGAAGCUUUACGAAUAGCCGGGUUCUGCUCCCAGCACCCUGAGUCCAUCUGGGACUAGUCAUGGGUUCCUGUGUGGAGUAGGGUCACCAGGGUGCCGGCGUGUCCCACCUGUUUCUGUGGGGUUCCACACUGGGGAUGGAGAGGAGGGCGGACGUGGGGGCAAGAGGCCCCCCCCCCGCCCAGCAAAGCACGGCUCCUGGGGUGAAGGGUGCUAAGUAAUGACCCUUCUUGUUUUCUGAAUUCUCCCUCCCCUGGGUAGGGCUCCUUUUUGUCAAAUAAAGGAUUUGAGAUACAAGAGGAACCAAGAUAAUCCUGGUGUUGAAGGCUGUUAGGGGAAAUCAGCAGCAGAGCGCACGUUUGUUGAGUGCUGACUAUCCGCAGGGCCUGUGGCAAGCACUUUAUGUGCACGAACCUACCUAACCUCUCUUCAAACUUACAGGCAGCUAUUGUUAUUAUCCUCAUUUUGCAGAUGAGAAAACUGAGGCACAGAGACCACACAGAGGUAAGUGAAAGAGCUGGGAUUUGAACCCAGGUAUUGUGGCUCCUGAUCCAGGUGCCCAAGUUGGGGUGCAGCAGCGAGGCCCAUUAGCACGAGUCACGUGUGCACAGAGCCCGGAGAGAGCACUCAAUGAUUCUUUGCUUUUGCUGUCAGUUCCUCUUUCAGGUCACAUAGAGGCCCCUCAGAUGGGCAUCCUGGAGCCCCAUGUUCUCUGGAGUCUCUUUCCUUCUCUUCUCCUCUUUCCUUAUCUUGAAACCUGCCCUUCGGGAUGCAGGCUCCACUGCAUGAUCCCUGCGUCCCAUCCCGCUGCAGCAUUGUUAGAUGUCCUGGUUUCUUCCUGGUGGAGCUUGUACACAACAAACAUGUCUUCUUUUGUUAACAUUGACCUCUUAUCAGAGCAGAACUCCCAGGCUUUACUGGGUUAGCAGUGUGGAGCUUUACUCCAUUUUGCUAAGGAAUCUGUCCCCUGAGUUGAGAAGUAAAUGAGGUGGGAAGGAGAAGGAAUCUUCUACUCUUUCAUGCUAAUAACGACAGCUCGUAUUUAUUGAGCAUCGACCACAAAGCAGGCCCUGCGCCAAGUGCCUCAUCUUACAACCUUGUGAUGGGGGAUUCUUGUCCUCAUUUUCCAGGGAAAGAAGUUGAGAUGGAAAAGGGUAAGUCACUUGCCCAAGGCCUCACGGCUAUUGAGUGGCAGAGCCGAGGCUUGAACCCGGGUCUUUCUGGGCUCACAUAAAGAAAAGCAGCCAAGUCAUUUUUUAAGAGCAAGGAGGCGGUGAGGGAGGCUUCCCCACAGCUGUCAUCCCUGCGUCAUCACCUGUGUCUUAGAAGCUUUCCACGCAGGUCCCAGCCACUCUCUCCUGCAGGCUCAGCCCUGCCCCAGCUACCACCCAGGGCUGGAUGAGGCGGCCAGCGUUCUCCUGCCUCAGCCUCUCAUCCAGGGAAAUGUGUGCGGUUGCCCUUGGGUCUGCCCUUGGUGACUGUCAAGUGUCUGUGGCUACACCCUGACCAGCGGGCAGGUCUCAUGCCAGGAAGAUGUUCUGCCACCCUCUUCAGGAGCCCUGAGCUGUGGGGAGGAGGCACCACGCCCAGUCCCCAAGGUCACACCAGGCCAGGCCAAACACGAGGCCAGGCCCAGCACGACUGUUUUCAGGGAUCCUGGCCGAGACCCUCCCAAGCCCCCCACUCAUCACUGGAGAGUCUUUUGGAGCUGCCCCCACCUUUGGAGUUCAAGAGUGAUGGAGGGACUAGGGAGGAACCCCCAUUCAGGGAUCUGGGGGUCUGGACUAGAUGUAGGAGGAGUCCAGAGGUUCCCUUUGGACACUGACCAGGGCCCCUGCUGAUGCGUGGCUCUAUCUGGCUUGCUCAGUGGCUCUCAGCACCUACACGUGGGCACGCUUAGGCUUCUCCCACACAGACAGUGGGCAGGAGCCCCGAGCGGGGAAGACAAUGUGAUCAGGACAAUCCUAUGAUGCAGCGAAGCUGUCAGAUUCCCACCCAAGCCCCCUUAGCACACGCGCUCCAGUCCCUGCCAACAGGACUGCCAGCACUGCAACUCCCUGCCUGGGACAGAAGGGCAGGGCAGUUAGUGCCCCACCUCCAGCAGCCCUCAGCCAAUGACGGAUGGAGCUAGAGUUUAGUAGCCCAGCUUCCUCAACCUCCUAGUAGGAUAAUUCUAUGAUGUGUGCUACACACUUGCUGCUCAAAGCAUGGUCCAAGGGCCAGCAGCAUCAACAUCACUGGCAGCUUAUUAGAAAUGCAGAAUCUUUGAGGCUAGCCUGCUGGCGUAGUAGUUAAGUUAGCACACCCCACUUUGGCAGCCUGGGGUUUGUGGGUUCAAAUCCGUGUGUGGACCUACAUGCCACUCAUCAAGCCAUGCUCUGGUGGCGUCCCACAUACAAAAUGAAGGAAGAUUGCCACAGGUGUUAGCUCAGGGACAGUCUUCCUCACCAAAAAAAAAAACAAAGAAAAGAAAAGAAAUGCAGAAUCUUGGGCCCCACCUGAACUUCUGCAUCAGAUUCUGCAUUUUAACAGGAUCCCAGAUUUGUGGAUGUGUUAAAGUUUGAGAAGCACCAUCCAAUGAUGUUUCCCUAAGGUCCCCAGAGGGAUGAAAUCCAGGUUGCCCAUCGAAGUAACCUGCUCCAUACCAUUCUUUUACAGGCUUCCUACACGUUCAUUCUCAUUCACGCUACCCCUCACUGCUUCCUGGAAUCCUCUCCCAAGAAAACUCCAUCAUCUCUGGGUCUGCUCUGAGGAGAACCACCUAAGACCCAUGGCCUCUUUGGGAUAAAAUAAUGGAUCUGCUGCAAAAGCCCAGUCCACCUUUCUAAGCUGUGCAAUGCUGGGCAAGGGAAAUGGGAAGAGACUAAUACUUAGUUCUCAGAAUUCCUUUGAGAAUUAAAUGAGGUAGUUCUUAUACAGUUUGCACAGUGGCUAGCAAAGAGUAGCCCUUCCAUAGAUGUUGGCUAUUAUUACUCUCCUGCUGCUUCUUCUGAAGCCUUCUCCGUCCCCUGUGCCCUGUGGGUAUCCAACAUCCAGAUCAUGCAGGAAUGGUGACGUGGAGCUUCAGAAAGGUGUCUGUACUUGCGAUGGGAGAAAAGGGCUUGAAUCUAGCUGGGCCACCAAUCAAGGAAACUGAAACUUGGUUUCCUUAUCUGUGAAAUGAGAAUGUAAAUAUCAACCUCACGGGGCUAUUGUGAAGAAGAAAUUAAACAAUGUGUAGACAGCACUUGGCAAUGAAUCUGGUGUGUGGUCGGCACUCAGCAAACGUUUGUUGAAGGAAAAGCAGGAGUGACAGGGUCCUGAAUGACCUGCUGGGGUUGUGGCAUCUCUCCCACUGCCCCCUGCAUGGGACUCCCCAGGGCCACCUUGGCCUAGGCAAGCAGGAGGAGUCAGUAGAUGGAAAGGCCUGGCCGCUUGCCACUCUUGAUGAGGCUCAACUCCUUGUUCCGUGCCCAGCCAGGAAACAGUAUUAUUCCAUGAGCCCAAACCCCUCAUUGGACGAGGCCAGCAAUAACCACUGGGAUGCCAUUGUUGUUUGUGAGAUGUCUGGGCAGGACUAAUAGGUGGGGUUGACCAGAAUGAGGGAUUGUAUUAUGAGCGAAGGCGUGUUCUCAAGGGAUCCCUCCUACUCCAAAGGAUGGAGGAAGAUGCUCCAUUGAAUGAGAGCGGAGACACAGACCUGCCGCCCCAGAAGUAGCUUUCAGUCUUGCAUCAGUGGGCAGGCCUCAGACUUGCCAAGAGAAGCCACUUUCUUGGAAGGGGCUGCAAAAUUGAAACAAGACCAGUCUGCUAGUUUAGGCUGCUUUAAUUUUACAAACGGUUUGUUAUUUGCUAGCUUAUUUGAUCCUCACAACCACCCCGUAAAACAGGCUGGGAAAUAGUAUCUCCUAUUGACAAUUGAGGGAAACUGAGGUCCAGAGAGGUAAUUAACCAGCUUCAGUCAGUUGCUAGCGGCUGACGCAGGAGUCGUCCCAUAUCGUGGGUCCCGGCCCUGUGAAUUCUCCAUCCCAGAAGAUGGACAAUUUAAAUGGCAGGAGAAGGAGAGCCUCUGCUUUAAUUUUUAAAGAUAUUUUAAAAGUAAAGGAAAAAAGUCUUUAUGAGGCUAGCCUGGUGGUGCAGUGGUUAAGUUCAUGGGCUCCACUUUGAUGGCCCAGGGUUCACAGGUUUGGAUCCCAGGCGCAGACCUAGCACCGCUCAUCAAGCCACGCUGUGGUGACAUCCCACAUAAAGUGCAGGAAGGUUGUCACAGAUGUUAGCUCAGCGACAGUCUUCCUCAAGCAAAAAGAAGAAGAUUGACAACAGAUGUUAGCUCAGGGCCAAUAUUCCUCACACGCACACAAAAAAAGUAAAGGAAAAAGUCUUUUAUAUUCACUCACAUUGAUACCAUUUUCAGUGCUCUUCACUCCUUUGUGUAAAUCCUUUGUGUAAAUAUAUAUAUCCAUCUAGUACCAUUUUUCUUCUGCACAAACGACUCCCUUUGACAUUUCUUGUAGUGCAGGUCUGCUGGGGACAAAUUCUUUCAGCUUUAGUAUGUCAGCUUUUGUUUAUUGAAAGAUAUUUCCAUUGGGUGUAGAAUUCUAGGUUGUCAGUUCUUUUUCUUUCAGUUUUUUUUUUUGAGGAGGAUUAGCCCUGAGCUAACUGCCACCAAUCCUCCUCUUUUUGCUGAAGAAGACUGGUCCUGAGCUAACAUCCAUGCCCAUCUUAUUCUACUUUAUAUGUGGGAUGCUUACGACAGCAUGGUGUGCCAAGCGAUGCCAUGUCCGCACCUGGGAUCCGAACCGGUGAACCCCGGGCUGCCAAAGCAGAACAUGCGAACUUAACUGCUGUGCCACCGGGCCGGCCCCUUCUUUCAAUAUUUUAAAGAUGUGUCUCCACUGUCCCCUGACUUACAUUAGUUCCAGUGAGAAAUCUGCUGUCAUCCUUAUCUUUGCUCCUCUGUAUGGAAUGCAUACUUUUUUUGCUUUUAACAUGUUCUCUUUAUCACUGCUUUUAAACAAUUCCAUUCUCGUUUAGUUUGGUGUCAUUUUCUUCAUGUUUCUUGUGCUUGGGAUUCACUGAGCUUCUUGGAUCCGUGAGUUUAUAGUUUUCUUCAAAUUCGGAAAAGUUUCAGCCAUCAUUUCUUCUGAUAUUUUUUCUGUUCCUCCCCACCCUCCCACGGGCACUCCAGCUACAUAUAUAUUAGACUGCCUGGGGUGCCUCCACAGCUCACUGAUGCUCUUCUCACUUUAUUUUCCCAGUCAUUUUUUAUCUGUUUCAUUUUGAAUAGUUUCUGUUGCCAAGUCUUCAAGUUGAGUAACAUUUUACUCUGUGGUCUUUAAUCUGCUGUUACUCUCAUCUAGUAUAUUUUUUAUUGCAGACAUUGUAUUUUUCAUCUUUAGUAGUUCUAUUUGGGUCUCUUAAAAUAUCUUCUGUGUCUCUCUUUAGCGUGCUCGUGCUUUUCUUUACCUUCUCGAAAAUAUGAAUACAGUUAAAAAGACUGUUUUGAUGUCAUUGUUCACUAAUUAUAUCAUCUGUAUCAUGUCUGGAUGUGUUUCUAUUGGUUGAUUUUUUUUGUCUCAUUUUGGGUUAUAUUUUUCUGCUUCUUUGCAUGCCUGGUCAUCUUUUUUUUACUGGAUGUCAGAUGCUAUGUUUUUGGAUGCUGGAUGUUUUUGUAUCCCUUUAAAUAUUCUUGAACUUUGUUCUGGGAUAUAGUUACAUUUCUUU